CCUACGGGUGGCAGCAGUGGGGAAUAUUGGACAAUGGGGGGAACCCUGAUCCAGCCAUGCCGCGUGUGUGAAGAAGGCCCUCGGGUUGUAAAGCACUUUCAGUGAGGAAGAACGCCUGGUGGUUAAUACCCAUCAGGAAAGACAUCACUCACAGAAGAAGCACCGUCUAACUCCGUGCCAGCAGCCGCGGUAAUACGGAGGGUGCGAGCGUUAAUCGGAAUUACUGGGCGUAAAGCGCGCGUAGGUGGCUUGAUAAGCCGGUUGUGAAAGCCCCGGGCUCAACCUGGGAACGGCAUCCGGAACUGUCAAGCUAGAGUGCAGGAGAGGAAGGUAGAAUUCCCGGUGUAGCGGUGAAAUGCGUAGAGAUCGGGAGGAAUACCAGUGGCGAAGGCGGCCUUCUGGACUGACACUGACACUGAGGUGCGAAAGCGUGGGUAGCAAACAGGAUUAGAUACCCCAGUAGUC
rnacentral:rRNA from 1 species